rnacentral:rRNA from 1 species
GCUUGUCUCAAAGAUUAAGCCAUGCAUGUCUAAGUAUAAACGAUUUUAUACGUGAAACUGCGAAUGGCUCAUUAUAUCAGUUAUAGUUUAUUUGAUGGUCCUUACUACUUGGAUAACCGUAGUAAUUCUAGAGCUAAUACAUGCAUCAAGCCCUGACUUCGGAAGGGGUGUAUUUAUUAGAUGGAAACCAAUGCGGGGCAACCCGGAAAAUGGUGAUUCAUAAUAACUUUUCGAACCUCAUGCCUUUAUGGUGGAGGUGAUUCAUUCAAAUUUCUGCCCUAUCAACUUGGCUACCACAUCCAAGGAAGGCAGCAGG